rnacentral:other from 1 species
AUUUCCCUGCCUUGUUCGCGAUUGGCACUUAUUUAUGAUUUAGAACCUAGCUGACGAGAACGGGAGUUUCCGCUCACGGUGGUGAGCAAGCCCUCCGGCCUUGAAGGCCGACGGGGGAAGCCUAAAGCCGUGAUUGAAGCGCCCCCCUUUAUAAAAAGGGUUCAAAUCUUUCAGCGCCACACGACGGAAGGCGGGGAGAAU